UACGUAGGGAGCAAGCGUUGUCCGGAUUUACUGGGUGUAAAGGGUGCGUAGGCGGCUUUGCAAGUCAGAAGUGAAAUCCAUGGGCUUAACCCAUGAACCGCUUUUGAAACCGCAGAGCUUGAGUGGAGUAGAGGUAGGCGGAAUUCCCGGUGUAGCGGUGAAAUGCGUAGAGAUCGGGAGGAACACCAGUGGCGAAGGCGGCCUGCUGGGCUCUAACUGACGCUGAGGCACGAAAGCGUGGGUAGCAAACAGG
rnacentral:rRNA from 1 species